rnacentral:rRNA from 1 species
GACGAACCGUACGAACGUUAUUCGGAUUCACUGGGCUUAAAGGGUGCGUAGGCGGCCAUGUAAGUAGGGGUGUGAAAUCCCCCGGCUUAACCGGGGACUGCGCCCUAAACUGUGUGGCUUGAGUGAGAUAGGGGUGUGGUGGAACUUCCGGUGGAGCGGUGAAAUGUGUUGAUAUCGGAAGGAACGCCGGUGGCGAAGCGACACACUGGGCUCAACUGACGCUGAGGCACGA